rnacentral:rRNA from 1 species
GACGUAGGGCGCGAGCGUUGUCCGGAUUUAUUGGGCGUAAAGAGCUCGUAGGCGGUUUCGUAAGUCGGAUGUGAAAACUCCAGGCUCAACUUGGAGACGCCAUUCGAUACUGCGAUGACUUGAGUCCGGUAGGGGAGUGUGGAAUUCCUGGUGUAGCGGUGAAAUGCGCAGAUAUCAGGAGGAACACCGGCGGCGAAGGCGGCACUCUGGGCCGGUACUGACGCUGAGGAGCGAAAGCGUGGGGAGCGAACAGG